rnacentral:rRNA from 1 species
GCGAGGCCGACAGGCGUAGUCGAUGGACAACGGGUUGAUAUUCCCGUACCGGCGAAGAACCGCCCAUACCGAGCCCGGUGAUGCUAAGCGCCCGAGCCGGCACAUCGUCCCUUCGGGGACACCGUGCCGGGGAGCGCGUGACCCGAACCGGUAGUAGGUAAGCGUAUUAACAGGGGUGACGCAGGAAGGUAGCCAAGCGUGGCGAUGGUAGUCCACGUCCAAGGUCGUAGGGCGAGGUGUAGGCAAAUCCGCACCUCAUAUAGCCUGAGAGCUCACGGUGACCGCGAAUGCGGGAAUCUGGUGAUCCUAUGCUGCCAAGAAAAGCCUCGACGCGAGGUUCUAGCCGCCCGUACCCCAAACCGACUCAGGUGAUCAGGUAGAGAAUACCAAGGCGAUCGAGAGAAUCGUGGUUAAGGAACUCGGCAAAAUGCCCCCGUAACUUCGGGAGAAGGGGGGCCUGAAGCGUGAUCCGGCUAGCCCGGGGAGCGUGAAGGGCCGCAGAGACCAGGGAGAAGCGACUGUUUACUAAAAACACAGGUCCGUGCGAAGUCGCAAGACGAUGUAUACGGACUGACGCCUGCCCGGUGCUGGAAGGUUAAGAGGACGGGUCAGCCGCAAGGCGAAGCUCAGAAUUUAAGCCCCAGUAAACGGCGGUGGUAACUAUAACCAUCCUAAGGUAGCGAAAUUCCUUGUCGGGUAAGUUCCGACCUGCACGAAUGGCGUAACGACUUCUCCGCUGUCUCAACCGCGAACUCGGCGAAAUUGCACUACGAGUAAAGAUGCUCGUUACGCGCAGCAGGACGGAAAGACCCCGGGACCUUUACUAUAGCUUGGUAUUGGUGUUCGGUGCGGCUUGUGUAGGAUAGGUGGGAGACUGUGAAGCCGGCACGCCAGUGUCGGUGGAGUCAACGUUGAAAUACCACUCUGGUCGCUCUGGAUAUCUAACCUCGGUCCGUGAUCCGGAUCAGGGACAGUGCCUGGUGGGUAGUUUAACUGGGGCGGUUGCCUCCUAAAAUGUAACGGAGGCGCUCAAAGGUUCCCUCAGCCUGGUUGGCAAUCAGGUGGCGAGUGCAAGUGCACAAGGGAGCUUGACUGUGAGACUGACAGGUCGAGCAGGGACGAAAGUCGGAACUAGUGAUCCGGCGGUGGCUUGUGGAAGCGCCGUCGCUCAACGGAUAAAAGGUACCCCGGGGAUAACAGGCUGAUCUUGCCCAAGAGUCCAUAUCGACGGCAUGGUUUGGCACCUCGAUGUCGGCUCGUCGCAUCCUGGGGCUGGAGUAGGUCCCAAGGGUUGGGCUGUUCGCCCAUUAAAGCGGUACGCGAGCUGGGUUUAGAACGUCGUGAGACAGUUCGGUCCCUAUCCGCUGCGCGCGCAGGAAACUUGAGAAGGGCUGUCCCUAGUACGAGAGGACCGGGACGGACGAACCUCUGGUGUGCCAGUUGUUCCGCCAGGAGCACGGCUGGUUAGCUACGUUCGGAAGGGAUAACCGCUGAAAGCAUCUAAGCGGGAAGCCUGCUUCAAGAUGAGGUUUCCAUGCCCCCUUGAGGGGUGAGAGGCUCCCAGCUAGACCACUGGGUAGAUAGGCCGGAUGUGGAAGAGGGGACUAAAGACCCUCGCAGCUGACCGGUACUAAUAAGCCGACAACUUCACCAC